GGGGCCGUAGUCUAGCCAGGAAUGACGACAGAAAUGAAAUCCGCCAAGGGCUCCAGAUGUAUAAGGCGCUAUGGGUUUGCGGACCUAAUGGGAUGAAGAGCUUCAGGAGCGCGGAGGAAACCCGUAGGUCGAGGGUUCAAAUCCCUUCGGCCCCACCA
rnacentral:tRNA from 1 species